rnacentral:rRNA from 1 species
AUAUCAGUCAUGCAUAGCAUAUCAAUAAGCGGAGGAAAAGAAACUAACAAGGAUUCCCUUAGUAACGGCGAGUGAAGCGGGAAGAGCUCAAAUUUGAAAUCUUCAAGGUUUUACCUUGACGAAUUGUAGUUUAAAGAAGUGUUUUCUGUUGAAGUUUUGGUAAAAGUUCUUUGGAAUAGGACAUCAUAGAGGGUGAGAAUCCCGUAUUUGACCAUUACUUUCAGCUUUGUGAUACACUUUCAAAGAGUCGGAUUGUUUGGGAAUGCAGUCCAAAAUGGGUGGUAAAUUUCAUCUAAAGCUAAAUAUUGGCGAGAGACCGAUAGCGAACAAGUACCGUGAGGGAAAGAUGAAAAGAACUUUGAAAGGAGAGUUAAACAGUACGUGAAAUUGUCAAAAGGGAAGCGUUUGACACCAGUGUUGUUUUCUCGAAAAUCAAUUAAAAAGAGUUGGAUUUUGUGUUGUAUUGACUUUAUCAGCUUUCUUCACUCUUUUCCAGCUUUUUUUAAUGCACUUUUCGUUUAACAAGUCAACAUCAGUUUCUUUUGUUGUAAAAAGGUCAUUGGAAGGUGGCUUUCUCUUCGGAGAAAGUGUUUAUAGCCUUUGACUCAUGCAAUCGGAGAGACUGAGGUCUGCAGCGUAGAUCCUUCGGGGUUAGAUACAUUUGUGCUAAGUUAUAGCUUUUCAUAGACAACUUGUUGACUAUGUUUAGUCUUGUAGCUUACUCGCUUAUGCUAUUUUACCUACGCUUAGGAUGUUGAACUCUAUCACACACAG